AUUAAUACCUGAUGGUGUUUGAAUUCCGCAUGUUAUUCAAACUAAAGAUUUAUCGGGUAACGGAUGGGGAUGCGUGACAUUAGAUAGUAGGCGGGGUAACGCCCACCUAGUCUACGAUGUCUAGGGGUUCUGAGAGGAAGGUCCCCCACACUGGAACUGAGACACGGUCCAGACUCCUACGGGAGGCAGCAGUGAGGAAUAUUGGUCAAUGGUCGGAAGACUGAACCAGCCAAGUAGCGUGAAGGAUGAAGGUUCUAUGGAUUGUAAACUUCUUUUAUACGGGAAUAAAACCUCCCACGUGUGGGAGCUUGUAUGUACCGUAUGAAUAAGCAUCGGCUAACUCCGUG
rnacentral:rRNA from 1 species